GGCUCAGGAUGAACGCUAGCUACAGGCUUAACACAUGCAAGUCGAGGGGGAAACGAUAUUGGAAGCUUGCUUCCGAUAGGCGUCGACCGGCGCACGGGUGAGUAACGCGUAUCCAACCUGCCCAUCACUUGGGGAUAACCUUGCGAAAGUAAGACUAAUACCCAAUGACGUCUCUAGAAGACAUCUGAAGGAGAUUAAAGAUUUAUCGGUGAUGGAUGGGGAUGCGUCUGAUUAGCUUGUUGGCGGGGUAACGGCCCACCAAGGCGACGAUCAGUAGGGGUUCUGAGAGGAAGGCCCCCCACAUUGGAACUGAGACACGGUCCAAACUCCUACGGGAGGCAGCAGUGAGGAAUAUUGGUCAAUGGACGAGAGUCUGAACCAGCCAAGUAGCGUGCAGGAUGACGGCCCUAUGGGUUGUAAACUGCUUUUAUAAGGGAAUAAAGUGAGUCUCGUGAGACUUUUUGCAUGUACCUUAUGAAUAAGGACCGGCUAAUUCCGUG
rnacentral:rRNA from 1 species